UCCUCCCUCUGUCGGCGUGCUUAACACAUGCAAGUCGAACGGAAAGGCCCUGCUUUUGUGGGGUGCUCGAGUGGCGAACGGGUGAGUAACACGUGAGUAACCUGCCCUUGACUUUGGGAUAACUUCAGGAAACUGGGGCUAAUACCGGAUAGGAGCUCCUGCUGCAUGGUGGGGGUUGGAAAGUUUCGGCGGUUGGGGAUGGACUCGCGGCUUAUCAGCUUGUUGGUUGGGUAGUGGCUUACCAAGGCUUUGACGGGUAGCCGGCCCGAGAGGGUGACCGGCCACAUUGGGACUGAGGUACGGACCAGACUCCUACGGGAGGGAGCAGUGGGGAAUAUUGCACAAUGGGCGGAAGGCUGAUGAAGCAACGCCGCGUGCGGGAUGACGGCCUUCGGGUUGUAAACCGCUUUCGCCUGUGACGAAGCGUGAGUGACGGUAAUGGGUAAAGAAGCACCGGCUAACUACGUG
rnacentral:rRNA from 1 species